UACAGAGGUCCCAAGCGUUGUUCGGAUUCACUGGGCGUAAAGGGUGCGUAGGCGGUCGGGUAAGUCUGACGUGAAAUCUCCGGGCCUAACCCGGAAACUGCGUCGGAUACUAUCCGGCUAGAGGAUUGGAAGGGAGACUGGAAUACUUGGUGUAGCAGUGAAUGCGUAGAUAUCAAGUGGAACACCAGUGGCGAAGGCGAGUCUCUGGACAAUUCCUGACGCUGAGGCACGAAAGCCAGGGGAGCAAACGGG
rnacentral:rRNA from 1 species